rnacentral:rRNA from 1 species
GUCCUUCCGAUUGUUUGGAAGGUCAGACCUGCCCGGUGAUGAUUUUAACGGCCGCGGUAUCUUGACCGUGCAAAGGUAGCAUAAUCAUUAGUCUUUUAAUAGGAGGCUGGUAUGAAGGGUUUAACGAGGUAUUGACUGUCUCAUUUAUUAUUUUAGAAUUUAAUUUUUAAGUUAAAAAGCUUAAUUUUUAUUGGAAGACGAGAAGACCCUAUAGAGCUUUAUAUUCAUUUUUAUAUAUGUUAUUAGGUUAAUGAUUAAUAUAUAUCUAAAUAAUUAUUUUGUUGGGGUGACAAAAACAUAUAAUUAACUUUUAUAUUUUAAAUACAUAAAUUUAUGCAUGUAGGAUCCAAUAUUAUUGAUCAUUAGACUAAGUUACCUUAGGGAUAACAGCGUAAUCUUCUCUCAGAGUUCAAAUUUACGAGAAGGCUUGCGACCUCGAUGUUGGAUUAAGAUAAUAGUUAGGUGCAGAAGCUUAAUUAAUAGGUCUGUUCGACCUUUAAAUUCUUACAUGAUCUGAGUUCAAACCGG